AUGCAACGGGCACGGCCAAAGCGGCUGAAUCCACGCACUGCGUGGCUGCAGCGACGCGACGCGCAAGUUGCCAGCGAUUCUUUGUUCUUUUUCUUCCGAGGCCAAGAUCGAUUUGCUCCCCCGCCCCUCCCUUCUUGGACCGUGCUUGUUAUUGAGCCUGUAAACUACAUUUCCCAAGAUGCCACGCGCACGAUGGCGCCCAUUCAUUUUUCGCGUGCCUGGAAGCGAAAUUACCACUCGGGGCAUAAACGUGACAGGGGCUGAGGUGGAAGGAUCGCUUGAGUCCAGGACUUCAAGACCAGCCUGGGCAAUAUGG